UUUGAUGGAUAAGCUUCCUACCAAUGAAAAACUUCAGGGUGAGGAUUGCAACAUUGUAUCUAUGUGCAGUCUUUGUGAAAUGGCCUGUAAGACCUCGAAUCACUUGUUGUGUUUCCCAUUUUUGUUGAAGAUUUGAUAAUGGCUUGAAAGUCUUUUAAACAUACGAAUAGAUAAAUCCUUUAUUUCAUUUAUUCUUUCUAUUUGUUAUGCUAGUUGGUCACCUCAAGUCUAGGAUACCAUUCUUGUUGCCAUUGUUUUCAUCAUUGGAACUAUUUGGCAUUGUAGAAAUUGUAAGAGAUUCUAUAAUUAGAAUAUUGAAGUACAAAAUUCUAUUCCUUCGAUUUUAGACAAGAAGAACCUUGUUCCUUAUGAGGUGCUUUUCACUUGGAUCAUAAGGAGUGAUCGGGUGGAUGUGUCUAUGUUGGAAUCGUCUGUAGGUGUCACACAACUAAAGGGUGUGACCUUUAUUAAGAUGGGGAUAACAGACUACUUCCCAAAAUAUACUCAGAAGCAUAUCAAGAGAAAGGCUAAGAAAAAGCCUAAGGAGAAACCAUAGUUUGUGGCAGGACAAAAGGAAGGGGCUAAGAAGCAGCCAAUUGAUCAGGAGUCUAAAGCAUUGUCUCAACAGACUUAAGGGGAGCAAACUUAAGCCAAGUCAAAACCCUCGACUUAGUCUAAACCUAGCCAACCCAAACUCAAACUACCUACCAAAAGAAAAGAUCUACCUCCACCAUCAUCUGACCCUAAACCAAACCAAGAAACCUAAGAAAGCACUAGUCAAGAAUUUAACGGAGAUGUACU
rnacentral:lncRNA from 1 species